rnacentral:ncRNA from 2 species
CUCUUAUCCAGAGAGGUGGAGGGACUGGCCCUAUGAAACCCGGCAACCGUUAAACAUUUUUGUUUAAAAUGGUGCCAAAUCCUACAGAGCAUUCGGCUCUGAUAGAUGAGAG